CGGGGUGUGGCCUAGUUGGUAGGGCGCCUGCUUUGGGAGCAGGAGGUCGGCGGUUCGAGUCCGCCCACCCCGACCA
rnacentral:tRNA from 1 species